GUAAGGUGGGCACUCUAAGGAGACUGCCGGUGACAAACCGGAGGAAGGUGGGGAUGACGUCAAGUCAUCAUGGCCCUUACGGCCUGGGCUACACACGUGCUACAAUGGUCGGUACAAAGGGUUGCCAAGCCGCGAGGUGGAGCUAAUCCCAUAAAACCGAUCGUAGUCCGGAUCGCAGUCUGCAACUCGACUGCGUGAAGUCGGAAUCGCUAGUAAUCGUGAAUCAGAAUGUCCACGGUCGAAUACGUUCCGGGCCUU
rnacentral:rRNA from 1 species